rnacentral:tRNA from 1 species
AAAAAUUUAGUUAAUAUAUAACGUUAGUUUGUCAAACUAAAAUAAUUUUUGAAUAAUUUUUA